rnacentral:rRNA from 1 species
UACAGAGGUCUCAAGCGUUGUUCGGAUUCAUUGGGCGUAAAGGGUGCGUAGGUGGCGCCGUAAGUCAGGUGUGAAAUUUCGGAGCUUAACUCCGAAACUGCAUUUGAUACUGCGGUGCUUGAGGACUGGAGAGGAGACUGGAAUUUACGGUGUAGCAGUGAGAUGCGUAGAUAUCGUAAGGAAGACCAGUGGCGAAGGCGGGUCUCUGGACAGUUCCUGACACUGAGGCACGAAGGCCAGGGGAGCAAACGGG